AUUGAACGCUGGCGGCAGGCCUAACACAUGCAAGUCGAACGGUAACAGGAAGCAGCUUGCUGCUUUGCUGACGAGUGGCGGACGGGUGAGUAAUGUCUGGGAAACUGCCUGAUGGAGGGGGAUAACUACUGGAAACGGUAGCUAAUACCGCAUAACGUCGCAAGACCAAAGAGGGGGACCUUAGGGCCUCUUGCCAUCGGAUGUGCCCAGAUGGGAUUAGCUAGUAGGUGGGGUAACGGCUCACCUAGGCGACGAUCCCUAGCUGGUCUGAGAGGAUGACAAGCCACACUGGAACUGAGACACGGUCCAGACUCCUACGGGAGGCAGCAGUGGGGAAUAUUGCACAAUGGGCGCAAGCCUGAUGCAGCCAUGCCGCGUGUAUGAAGAAGGCCUUCGGGUUGUAAAGUACUUUCAGCGGGGAGGAAGGGAGUAAAGUUAAUACCUUUGCUCAUUGACGUUACCCGCAGAAGAAGCACCGGCUAACUCCGUG
rnacentral:rRNA from 1 species